UGGGGAAUAUUGCACAAUGGGCGCAAGCCUGAUGCAGCCAUGCCGCGUGUGUGAAGAAGGCCUUCGGGUUGUAAAGCACUUUCAGCGAGGAGGAAGGUGGUGAGCUUAAUACGCUCAUCAAUUGACGUUACUCGCAGAAGAAGCACCGGCUAACUCCGUGCCAGCGGCCGCGGUAAUACGGAGGGUGCAAGCGUUAAUCGGAAUUACUGGGCGUAAAGCGCACGCAGGCGGUUUGUUAAGUCAGAUGUGAAAUCCCCGGGCUCAACCUGGGAACUGCAUUUGAAACUGGCAAGCUAGAGUCUCGUAGAGGGGGGUAGAAUUCCAGGUGUAGCGGUGAAAUACGUAGAGAUCUGGAGGAAUACCGGUGGCGAAGGCGGCCCCCUGGACGAAGACUGACGCUCAGGUGCGAAAGCGUGGGGAGCAAAACAGGAUUAGAGUAACCCUGGUAGUCCACGCUGUAAACGAUGUCGAUUUUGGAGGUUGUGCCCUUGAGGCGUGGCUUCCGGAGCUAACGCGUUAAAUCGACCGCCUGGGGAGUACGGCCGCAAGGUUAAAACUUAAAUGAAUUGACGGGGUCAUAGCUGUUUCCUG
rnacentral:rRNA from 1 species